GAUGAAGAACGUAGCGAAAUGCGAUACGUAAUGUGAAUUGCAGAAUUCAGUGAAUCAUCGAGUCUUUGAACGCACAUUGCGCCCUCUGGUAUUCCGGAGGGCAUGCCUGUCCGAGCGUCAUUGCUGCCCUCAAGCACGGCUUGUGUGUUGGGCCCCGCCCCCCGAUCCCGGGGGGCGGGCCCGAAAGGCAGCGGCGGCACCGCGUCCGGUCCUCGAGCGUAUGGGGCUUUGUCACCCGCUCUGUAGGCCCGGCCGGCGCCUGCCGAUCAACCAAACUUUUUUCCAGGUUGACCUCGGAUCAGGUAGGGAUGCCCGCUGAACUUAAGCAUAUCAAUAAGCGGAGGA
rnacentral:misc_RNA from 1 species